UACGUAGGUGGCGAGCGUUAUCCGGAAUGAUUGGGCGUAAAGGGUGCGUAGGCGGCCUGCUAAGUCUGGAGUGAAAGGUACCGGCUCAACCGGUACAGGCUCUGGAAACUGGCGGGCUAGAGAGCAGGAGAGGGCGGUGGAACUCCAUGUGUAGCGGUAAAAUGCGUAGAUAUAUGGAAGAACACCAGUGGCGAAGGCGGCCGCCUGGCCUGUUAACUGACGACUGAGGCACGGAAA
rnacentral:rRNA from 1 species